rnacentral:rRNA from 1 species
UACGGGGGGGGCAAGCGUUGUUCGGAAUUACUGGGCGUAAAGGGCUCGUAGGCGGCCAACUAAGUCAGACGUGAAAUCCCUCGGCUUAACCGGGGAACUGCAUCUGAUACUGGAUGGCUUGAGUUCGGGAGAGGGAUGCGGAAUUCCAGGUGUAGCGGUGAAAUGCGUAGAUAUCAGGAGGAACACCGGUGGCGAAGGCGGUUCUCUGGGCAUUACCUGACGCUGAGGAGCGAAAGCAUGGGGAGCGAACAGG